AUUGAACGCUGGCGGCAGGCCUAACACAUGCAAGUCGAGCGGAGCGGAGGACGGGUGAGUAAUGCAUAGGAAUCUGCCUGGUAGUGGGGGAUAACGUCAGGAAACGGGCGCUAAUACCGCAUACUAUCAGAUGAGCCUAGGUAUGAUUAGGUAGUUGGUGGGGUAAAGGCCUACCAAGGGGACGAUCCGUAACGGGUCUGAGAGGAUGAUCAGUCACAAUGGAACUGAGACACGGUCCAGAAGCCUACGGGAGGCAGCAGUGGUGAAUAGUGGACAAUGGGCGAAAGCCUGAUGCAGCCAUUCCGCGUGAGUGAAGAAGGUCUGCGGAUUGUAAAGGACUUUAAGUUGGGAGGCGUUACCAACAGAAUAAGCACCGGCUAACUUGGUGCCAGCAGCCGCGGUAAUAC
rnacentral:rRNA from 1 species